rfam:Glycine soja cultivar W05 scaffold1141_13, whole genome shotgun sequence.
UCUGACCUAGAGGAUACAUAGUCCUCGGGUCUCAUUAGUUAUUUUUCUUACAUCUCCGUCCCCCAAAGCCCACGUAUCAUAUAUACCUCCAAAAUAAAGAGCCUUGAAUACUAGAAGAAAUGCACCUAUACCUAAG